GGGGGUAUAGCUCAGUGGAAGAGCAUUUGGCUGCAAAUCAAGAUGUCCCUGGCUUAAAUAUGGAUGCCCCCC
rnacentral:tRNA from 1 species